GCUAAAGCUAGAAAGGUUGUCAUCAGCCCCAGACGCUUAUUUCAUUUAACUCAUCAAUCAGGUGGCAUUUAUUCGAAUUGAAUAUAAUGAGCACAAAAAAGACAGAGACGUAAAAACAUUGCCAAGUCGUUUUAAUAAACUUAAGUCGAGCAGCUAAGUUACUUUUUAGCCGAUGGAAAAAUCCAUGCUGAGGUUGGUCAUAAUGUCUGUUGUCAGUUGUUAGCUAACGUUCGCUGAGUUAACCAGUGUUUAAUAAGUGGUGGUUAAAACUGCUGCAGAUUUAAUGUGUUAGUUUUACGUUAGACAACACUGUGAGUCUGUCGGGACCGUUAUUUGUUAUUGUUGAUUAGCGGCUGUGUAUGUAUAGGAGCAACGGGUCUUGCUUGUUAUUUGGCGUCCCAGCUCAUGAAAAGACCAGUAGCUGGAUAUUAAAACACCAGGGGCAGGAGCACUUUAAGCAGAGCUGUCCAGUGGAGUAUCGCCACCCUCUGAGCUCGGCCUCACCACACCCCUCCCACAUAACAUCACAUCGAAGAAAAUGCACCUGAGCGACACAGGUGCAGAGGUAAAUCACCAUGAAGAACACAGACCUGAAACACAGGAGCAGGAUCACAGCACAGCACCUACAGAAGAAACUUUAGGACGACCAGAACCUGAACUCGGCAACUCCCAUGAACAGCCUCAGGAAAAGCCAUCUGAGGGUGCAAAACAAUGCCAGCAGCCUCGCAAACUCAAGAAGUACGACUGUCCGACCUGUGGGAGAAUUUUCUCUGACAACACCGCGCUGAAACGACACCUUGUGAUUCACGCGGGGAAAAGACCUUUCAAGUGCUUCAUCUGUGGGAGAGGAUUUACCCAGAGCGGAAACCUCAAAACACACAUGAAAGUGCACAGAGGUCAGAGGCAACAAGAUGCUCCUUUGUCUUUAAUUAGAUACACUUUUUUUUUCUUUUUCUUUUCUUUUCUUUUUUUUUUUUAAAUUAGAUGCUAUAGUGACUCCAAACAAAAGACGAAGUCACUGAGAGGCUAAGUGAGGGAGCAUUGCACUGCUGACUCGCCAUACAAACGACAAGGCUAUUUCCAAGUUUUCCGACUGUGUCCGUAUUUAUUUUCAACAGCGAACAAACAGGCAAAGCAAGGCAAGGCACGGCAGGAUGUUCAAAUACCCAGUUUUCAGUUAGGUUAAGCGGUCAACAAAAAAUACGCUCUCCCUACUCACCCCCCUCUCCAUGCAACCACCACGGUGCACAGGAGAGUUACCAAAUUGGACAUUAGUUCGAGAGAGUCCCCCGAAAGAAUCGCAUGUGACAGUUCAUGUGUGUGGAGAAUGUGGCAUGGACUUCCCUCAGAAGCAACAGCUGGAAGAACACCGCCAGAGUCACAAAAAGCCUUACGCCUGUCCUGACUGUGGCAAGACCUUCAAAACGGAAUACUAUUUCAAAAUACAUAAGCGCAUUCACUCAGGAGAGUCACCUUUCCUCUGUACAGAGUGUGGUAAGAGCUGUGUCACAGCAGAUUCGCUUAAAAAACACGAGCUGACUCACACUGGAGAAAGGAAUUUCCACUGUGAUCAGUGUGGGAAGGCGUUUUCACAAUCCUCCCACCUCAAGGUGCAUCUCAAAACUCACACCGGAGAGCGACCUCACCUCUGCUCAAUCUGUGGUAAAAGCUACUCCAAAGCAUCUGUGCUGAAAGUUCACCUGCGAGUUCACACCGGAGAGAAACCGUAUACUUGUGACAAAUGUGGCAAGUGCUUUUAUUACACUCAAGGUUAUCGAGCGCAUCUGAAGAUUCACGACAAGAAGCCAAAGCCUCAAACAAAACCGCUGGGGAGACCAAAACAACAGCUGUCAGUGGCACAUAAUCAAUAAUGUCACCUGGGAGUGUACACUAGUCUGAGAGGAUAUAAAUAGGAAAAGUUAAUAUACUAGCGUUGCCCAUCUUUUACUCUGUGAAGUAAACUAUCUUUCAAAUGUCUGAAGUGAUUGUUCAAACAGUAUGAUAGUAAUCAAAUGUAUAAGGUGUGCAGUCAGCUACAUUAUUAAUAACAUGUAUUGGAGUAUAUAGUAUUCAAGAAAAUAAAUCAUGACAUCAUAA